rnacentral:tRNA from 1 species
GCGUCGCCGGCCGGCGGGUCCUGGUGGUCGGCGAUCCCGGCGUCGCCAAGGCCGGCCUGGUCGAACGGGUGGUCUCCGCGCUCGGUGGCGCG